AAGUGGAGCAAUCCACGAGUACAGUGGCGUACGGGUGAGUAACACGUGACUAACCUACCCUCGAGUGGGGAAUAACCUCGGGAAACCGGGGCUAAUACCGCAUAACAUCUUCGGAUCAAAUGCGUAAGCAGCUUGAGGAGGGGGUCGCGGCCGAUUAGCUAGUUGGCGGGGUAAUGGCCCACCAAGGCAAUGAUCGGUAGCCGGCCUGAGAGGGCGCACGGCCACACUGGAACUGAAACACGGUCCAGACUCCUACGGGAGGCAGCAGUGGGGAAUUUUGCGCAAUGGGGGAAACCCUGACGCAGCAACGCCGCGUGGAGGAUGAAGCCCCUUGGG
rnacentral:rRNA from 1 species